AGUGAACGCUGGCGGUAGGCCUAACACAUGCAAGUCGAACGGCAGCACAGUAAGAGCUUGCUCUUACGGGUGGCGAGUGGCGGACGGGUGAGGAAUACAUCGGAAUCUACUUUUUCGUGGGGGAUAACGUAGGGAAACUUACGCUAAUACCGCAUACGACCUACGGGUGAAAGCAGGGAAUCUUCGGACCUUGCGCGAUUGAAUGAGCCGAUGUCGGAUUAGCUAGUUGGCGGGGUAAAGGCCCACCAAGGCGACGAUCCGUAGCUGGUCUGAGAGGAUGAUCAGCCACACUGGAACUGAGACACGGUCCAGACUCCUACGGGAGGCAGCAGUGGGGAAUAUUGGACAAUGGGCGCAAGCCUGAUCCCGCCAUACCGCGUGGGUGAAGAAGGCCUUCGGGUUGUAAAGCCCUUUUGUUGGGAAAGAAAAGCAGCAGGUUAAUACCCCGCUGUUCUGACGGUACCCAAAGAAUAAGCACCGGCUAACUUCGUG
rnacentral:rRNA from 1 species